AUUGAACGCUGGCGGCGUGCUUAACACAUGCAAGUCGUGCGAGAAAGGGGACUUCGGUCCCUGAGUAGAGCGGCGCACGGGUGAGUAACGCGUGGGUGAUCUACCCGGAAGUCUGGGAUAACGGUGGGAAACUGCCGCUAAUACCGGUUACGCUUCCAAUUCAGAAUUGGAGGGAAAGACGGCCUCUGCUUGCAAGCUGUCGCUUUCGGAUGAGCCCGCGUCCCAUUAGCUAGUUGGCGGGGUAACGGCCCACCAAGGCAACGAUGGGUAGCUGGUCUGAGAGGAUGAUCAGCCACACUGGGACUGAAACACGGCCCAGACUCCUACGGGAGGCUG
rnacentral:rRNA from 1 species